CUCAAAAAUAGGGGUACGGUUGGGGUACAUUUUUGUUCUUUUAGGUACAACUUUUGACCCUGUACCUUAAAGGGAACAAAAUUGAGCCCCUAAAGUACUAAUAUGUACCGUUCCUGGAUCAUUAAUGUACCUUUUCGCAAAGGGACCAUAUUUGUACCUAAGGGUACAAAAAAUACAUGGCCUGUCACUCAAAAGUUGUUGGGGGAGGAGAUUCGGGACGGGAGCAACCGUUAUUUUUUAUUUUUUAUUCCCUUAACUUUGUUCAUUUCACACACCAAGAAAUGGAGCAACUUUCAGUGAGGAGCUUGGUGUGAGAAAACACAUGUGCAGGAUGGAAUAAUCUUUGUGGAAGAGGAGGCAAAGCUAUUCAGAGAUACCCACCAAGGCAGAAUAUGGCCACUUGGAAGUAAGCUUACCUUUCCUAAAGGAUCUAAUGGCUAUUGGAUUACGCAGCUUUCGUUCAUGAAGAUCCGGUGAAAAGGAGUAAGGAGAAGUUUGGGAGAGUCAGCCGGUCCAUGGAACUUGUAAUGACUCAGCGCUGAUCUAUGCCAGAUGUAAAACCCCUGCUGGCAU